GUCAUGCUGACUCAAUACGCACCUCGUAGACCCCUCGAGGGUUAUCAAGUACCGGAUUAACAGUUAUUUCUUUCACUGAGGUAUCGGAAUCAGAGGUUCCUACAACUUCUCUUUUUUUUUUUUUUUUUUUUUUUUUUAGCAGGAUCGACCUCGAUUCCUCUGAUUCGCUCACAACAAGCCUCGGUAGCUUGAUGGACAACACUCCAUAAGUGCACUGAUUCAGACUCAAAAGUAUGAGUUAUCUCAACCGGUCAAACAACUUGCCCCAAGUCUACCGGAUGCCCCUGUUCUGCUUGGGACUUUGCCAUCAUGUCAUCAACAUGGCAUUUGCUUUCACGAUGAAUCAUAUCAUGAAACAAAGUCACCGUAGACCUCUGAUACGUGGCACCGGCCUCAUGUGAUGGAACGACAUCAACUUAGAACAAGAAGGUGCCCCUUGUGUGAUGGACCUGGUUUACUUCAUAUCAUCUGGCAACAAUUCAAUCUGGUCUUGGCCAAGAAGCCAUCCAUGAAGAUAAACACUGAGACCUGAGCCAUAUAAUCAACCAAUACCUCAUUGUGAAGUACCGGGAAUUCAUCCUUCAGAUUAGCUCUGUUCACAUCUUGGUGGUCCAUACACCUUCUCAUCUUUCAGCACCAGUUUCCG
rnacentral:lncRNA from 1 species